rnacentral:lncRNA from 1 species
CUCCUUGCUGCACAUUGCUGACGUCAAAAGUAGUUAUUGUGCAUCAGAACUCAUUGUUGUCAUAGCAGCAGCAGCAGCAGCUGUAGUCUAGCCUAACUCUGCUGGUACAUAGUUUAUUGUCUUCGUUUACCAUUUAUUAGUUCUUUAGCUGUGUCAUGAUUGAAUGGAAAAAGUGAAGAAUUCUAGCGGAGUUGCUACCAAAGUGACUCCUUCAACUGCAGGUUAGUUCGGCUGUCUGUGUAUGUGUGUGUAUGUACAUAUUGUGUGCAUGUGUAUAUGUAAUUGUAUGUGUGUAUGUAAAACAAAUACCGUUUCAGUACACUUUUUGGUAAUAUUUUUGUUUGCAGUUGUUCAAAUAACUGUAACCCUGUUUCGUUCGGCAUUGAAUUGUUGUGAUAUUUCGAAAUAUUGUGUGGAACAUGAGUGUUAAAUGACAAUAAUGAUGUAAGGGUUACAGUGUUUAAAACAUCAAACUGUUUUCCUAUUCAAAGAAAAAAAAAGUUUGUAAUCCAGAAUCUCUUUUCUUAUCUUAUCUAACACUACUUCAAUGUUAAAUUCUUCCUUUCAGCAAUAAUUUCAUCUUCCUCUUUCCUUUCUCAACUCAGCAUCAUAUUUUCAAAUUAAAUAAUUCUCAACUUUCUUUCUCUCUUUCAUAUCUAAACAAUUGCUGCUACUGUUGUUCUUAACCCCAGAUCAAUCUUUAAUGAGCAGACCUUAUGAUGAAAGACAUUCCAGCGAUGACCAUUCCAUUGUUUUCUUUUAGACAUAGUGUAUCUAGCUCUACCUCUCUUUAUUUUAAGUAACAGGGUGUGGUUUGAAGGGGGAUUUGGCAGCUAUUUCUAGCAAAUCAAGUGACCAUGUAGUAGCCCUCCUCCUCAUAUACUUUUGUAUACAUUUGAUUUUUCACAUUGGUUUAGGGUUUUAAAAUUUCAGGGUGCAUUUGAAUAGGAAGAGAAGCAAUUGAUAUUAAUGCACUACAUAUUAAUUACAUUUCUUUGUAUUAAUUAUUGAGUGGGUUUGCUUUGUUUAUUCUCUUUUACAUGUUUCAGUCAUUUGACUGCGGCCAUGCUGGAGCACCGUCAACCCCAGGACUUAUUCUUUGUAAGCCCAGUACUUAUUCUAUUGGUCUCUUUUGCUGAACCGCUAAGUUUUGGGAGCAUAAACACACCAACAUAUAUAUAAUAAUUUUCAUAUUACUAUUUGUCAAGCGAUGGUGGGAGGACAAACACAGAUACAAAGACACAAAUACACACACACAUGAUAGGCUUUCAGUUUCUGUUUACCAAAUCCACUCACAAGGCUUCGGUCAGCCCAAGGCUAUAGUAGAAGACACUUGCCCAAGUUGCUAUGCAGUGGGACUGAACCCGGAACCAUGUAGUUGAGAAGCAAACUUUUUACCACACAGCCAUGCCUGCGUUUGUAAAUUUUUGUUUUCUCUGUGGUGGUAUUUUUUUUUUUUAAUUCUGUAUUAGUUUGGAUUAUCUCAUUAUUUGGUGUUCAGCUAAACUAAAUACAAUAUAUUAUCAUAUCACAUCAUAUCUCAUUUGACACCACCUCACCUGAGACCACCACCUCUGAAGAUUCUAAGGUCCAAAAUCUUUUGUUAGUAAAUAUGAGUUCAAUCAUAGUUUUAGGUAAGAAACUUCUGUUUUGUUCCAAAUACUGGCUUAAUAAGGAAAAAAUUACUUUAUUAACAACCGAUGUGGUGUGUUUAUGUCCCCGUAACUUAGCGGUUCAGCACAAGAGACCGAUAGAAUAAGUACUAGGUUUACGAAGAAUAAGUCUUGGGGUCGAUUUGCUCAACUAAAAGGCGGUGCUCCAGCUUGACCACAGUCAAAUGACUGAAGUUAAAGAGUAAAAGAGUAGAGUAACAUAUGGUUUGGAAUAAUCAUAAAACACUUUACCAUCAUCACUUAACAUCCACUUUUCUAUGCUUACAUGGGUCGGAGGAAACUUUUUGAAGUAGAUUUUUCUAUGGCUGGAUGCUCUUGCUGUUGCCAAUCCUUCCCUAUUUCCAAGUAAGGCAAUAUUUUCCCAUGUUCUCCAGACAACAAACAGCUGAAUGGUUAGACACGCUUUUAUGGAGCAAUGUAAACUAAUGAGACCCUUUGUAUGAACGAUGCCUUUUGUUAACAAUUAGUGUGCAUCUGUUGUCAAGACAAUAAGAAAAUGUGCAAAAUACACACAUAUGCAGGAGUGGCUGUGUGGCAAGAAGCUUGCCUUCCAACCACGUGGUUCUGGGUUCAGUUCCACUGCAUGGCACCUCGGGCAAAUGUCUUCUACUAUAGCCUUGGGCCAACCAAAGCCUUGUGAGUGAAUUUGGUAGACGGAAACUGAAAGAGACCUGUUGUGUGUGUGUAUAUAUAUAUAUAUAUAUACAUACAUAUUUUCCAUGCCGGUGGCACGUAAAAAGCACCAACCAAUCGUGGCCAUUGCCAACCUCCCCUGGCACGUAAAAAGCACCAUCCAUACGUGGUCGAUGCCAGUGCCACCUUGACUGGUUUCUGUGCUGGUGGCACGUAAAAAGCACCAACCGAUCGUGGCCAUUGCCUGCUUCCCCCGGCACCUGUGCCAGUGGCACGUAAAAAGCACCCACUACACUCACGGAAUGGUUGGCAUUAGGAAGGACAUCCAGCUGUAGAAACACUGCCAGAUCAGACUGGAACCUGGUGCAGCCUCCUGGCUUCCCAGACCCCGGUCGAACCAUCCAACCCAUGCAAGCAUGGAAAACGGACGUUAAACGAUGAUGAUGAUUUGUGUGUGUCUGUGUUUGUUUCCCAACCAUCACUUGACAAUUGAUGUUGGUGUGUUUAUGUGCCCCGUAACUUAGCAGUUCAGCAAAAGAGACCAAUUGCAUAAGUACCAGGCUUUCAACGAAUAAGUCCUGGGCUCGAUUUAUUCGACUAAAGGUGAUGCUCCAGCAUAGCUGCAGUCAAAUGACUGAAACAAGUAAAAAAGAAUGGAGUGCACUGGUUGUCAGGCGGGCACUGGCUGGAUGAGACGUGCGUAGUCGGCGGCGAGACAGGCAGAUACUCACAUGCAAGUGUGGCUGUGUGGUAGAGAAGUUUGCUUCCCAGCUACAUGGUUUCAGGUUCAGUCCCACUGUAUGGCACAUUGGGUGUUUUCUACUACGGCCCUUGGUCGGCCAAACCCUUGUGAGCCAAUUUGGUAGAUGGAAACUGAUAUACAUGAACAUGUAUAUGUUUGUGCAUGGAUGCAUGUGUUUUGUUUCCUUCUUUUGAUAUUGCAUGACAGUCAUGAACAAGCAUCACUCUCAUACAAAUGGUGUCCUUCUUUAGCAAUCUUCUGUGUAAACAUGUCCAGCCAGAGGGAAAUAUUGCCUUAUUUGGAAACAGAUGGAAGUUGGCAACAUGAAGGGCAGCCAACCAUAGGAAAUCAUCCUCAGCUAAUACCGUCCAUCCUAGACAAGCCUGGGGAGAUGGAUGUUAAAAUGAUGUUGAUGAUGAUGAUGAUGAUGACACAAAUAUACUUUAUUAUUAAUAAUAUCAAUGAAAAUAUCCUUUUUCAUAUAAAUCUUGGAGAAUAAUUAUCUGUAAUAUCUAACGCUUCCUCCAAUUUCAAGAGUUGGUUAUUUAUCUAACCAAAGAUUUGUUACAGCAAGAUCCUGUGUUUUAAACCAAAGCCUAUCAGGUUCUUCUGUAUAUUUUGCAUUUUUCUCAAGUUACUGGUUCUCUUUCAUCUUCCUGAUAAUUUCUUUUACAAGAAUUACUUGUACUAUGCACAUAUUAAGUGCAGGCAUAACUUGUGUGGUUAAAAAGAUCAUUUUGCAAUCAUGUGCUUCUGGUUUCAGUCCUACUGUACAGCACUUAAGGCAAAUGUUUGCUAUUUUAGCUCUGUGUAAAUUAAUGUGAGUGAAUCUGGUAUGUGGAAUCUGUGUGGAAGCCUUUUGUGUAUGUAUAUGUGUAUAUAUGUGUGUAGCUUUGUGUUUGUCCCCUGUUACUGAUUCACAACCAAUGUGUGGUUUGUUUACAUCCCUGCAAAUAGAAGAGGCUGAAAGAAUAUGAAAGAAAUAAGGACUGGGGUGGGUUUGUUUGACUGGACCCUUCAAGGCAGUGCCCCAGCAUGGCCAAACAGUUUUCAGAAGAAAAUAUUCUAAACCUGAAAUAUACUUCUAUACAAAGGUAAAAGUACAAACCAUCAACUAGAAUUAUUUCUUGUAACUUGCAUUGUUUCGGUUUCAAAAAAAGACAAUGUUUAUGGAAAUCUGACAAUACUUCAUGCAAAUUAUACUAAUCAUCAUCAUCAUUAUCAUUUAACGUCCGUUUUCUGUGCUAGCAUGGGUUGGAUGGUUCGAUCGGGGUCUGGGAAGCCAGGAGGCUGCACCAGGUUUCAGUCUGAUCUAGCAGUGUUUCUACAGUUGGAUGCACUUCUUAACGCCAACCACUCCGUGAGUGUAGUGGGUGCUUUUUACAUGCCACCGGCACAGGUGCCAGGGGAGGCUGGCAAUGGCCAUGAUUGGUUGGUGCUUUUUACGUGCCACCGGCACAGAAGCCAGUGAAGGUGGCACUGGCAUCGAUCACGUUUGGAUGGUGCUUUUUACAUGCCACUGGCACAGAUAUAGCAACUACAAUUUCCAUUUGAUCUUUAUUUUGAUGUUGAUAUACUUGACUCAAUAGGUCUCCUCAAGCACAGCAGGUCACCUUACGAUCCAAGGUAAGCACAGCAGGUCGUUCUGCAAUCCAAGUACUUUGGAUGGGCUGGGGCUAUUCGAAACUGGUGCAGGAAACAGCCAUGAACUCACUGAAAAUUUCAAAAAUUGAACUGGAGCAUGACAAAGGAACAAUUGGAAAAUUCAUACACAAGAUAUGGACAUGCUCUUUCCUUGUCAGUUAUCAUACAAAAGAAUUAUUACAAUUUCUUGCCUAGCACAUCUCCCAUGACUUUCGGAAACAUUUUUUCACUCUAAGAGUUGCUGAAGUAUGGAACAAACUGCCGGCAUCAGUUGUUAGUUGUCGGAGCACUGCAUCCUUCAAAACUUACAUGCUUCCUGAGAUUCGCCAACACUACACCUGAUUUUCUCUCCUCCAUACACACACAAGCAUGUAUCUGACUCAUACACUGUUCACUUCCCAGACAUUUGUACAUUGCUUCAUAUACUUUAUAUGCACUUUUGACAAGUUGUGGUGCACCUGAGCAUUAUUGUAUACCUGAGCACUGUAUACAAUAAUUUCAUUAUUAUUAUUUUAUUUAGAUCUCAUUUCGUGAGAUCUGUUGAUUUUCAUGAUUUUUUCUUAAAAAUCAGUAGAUUCUUGUUUUAUUUAUUUAUCUAUUUAUUCUUUUGUUCUUUUACUUGUUUCAGUCAUUUGACUUUAGCCAUGCUGGAGCACCGCUUUUAGUUGAGCAAAUUGACCCCAGGACUUAUUCUUUGUAAGCCUAGUACUUAUUCUAUCAGUUCCUUUUGCCGAACUGCUAAGAUACGGGGUACAUAAAUACACCAGCAUUGGUUGUCAAGCGAUGAUGAGGAGGGGGGAACACACACAUACGCACACACAUGUAUACAUGACGGGCUUCUUUUAGUUUCUGUCUACCAAAUCCUCUCACAAGGCUUUGGUCAGCCCGAGGCUAUAGUAGAAGACACUUGCCCAAGGUGCCAUACAGUUGGACUGAGCUAUGUCGUUGGUAUGCAAGCUACUUACCACACAGCCACUCAUGCGCCGAUUUAUUUGUUUCUUUUUUUGAUGUAUUGAUGAAUUUUCUUAAAUGAUAUCGUGGAUUAAUUUAUUUUCAAAACAAGUAAAAGAUAAUAUUGAAUUUUCUUCCAGUUUCCUUUAUGUGCACUGAACAAAUCUGUAAGAUUGAGGCUAGUUACUAUAACCACAUUAGAAGUCACCUCAAUUAAUAAAACUUAGACCGAGACAGACAUAACUACCAAGACUAUGUCUUUGUCAUAAUUUUUGCCAUCUUCUCCCUUCAAAGCUUAUUUAAACUGUUUGUUUCUGGAAGCUUUUUGGCUGAAAAUAUUAGCUCACUUUUAGUUCCAUGCCAACUUCUGUUCAUAUUUAACUUCAAACAAUUGAUUUUCUAAUUCUUGUUACAUUGAACAAAAUGCUUUGACCUCUUCAAAUCCAUCUCAUCUACAACAGACUAUCAUCCUAUGAUAAAAUUCCCUACUUUAAAACAAUCUAAAUUUAAGCUAAGCCCUUCAAUCCCUAUGGAGCAUCAACCAUUGACAACCUUCUCCUCUGUUCUUGACUCUAGGCUAUCUUUUUUACUUCCCUCCAAUUGGAUCCCUGCUUUUUCAGCUUUGCCUCAUAACUCUCCCUCCAUAUUUAUAGGGCACCAUCUUUACCACCUAUCCAGUGGGUUUCAGUUCCAGGUAGUGUUAGAAGGGGAGUCUGCCUUGCAGCUUCAUUUUCGAGUUUAUUGUACCAUGUCCUGUGUUUCCCUGAAGGAAAAGCCUUUCUCUCCCAGGUCAUGUUGGUUUCCAGUUGUCAUCAGUGCUUCUGUAACUUUACUUUUUCAAUGUAAAGCUGUUGGCCUUACACAAAACCAUUUUUACCUCCGGGAAGAGGUUAUCCCCCCUCACCAUCAUUUGGCUUUUAUCCUUUGACUUGUCUAGCAUGGGAACCCCAACUAGGAGCUUACAGUUCACUGGCAUAGCUGUCAGGGUCACUGAGACACAUGAGCCAUCACCUGGUAACAUGGACUGAACCUUGUAGUGGAGUCUAAUUUAGAAACUUGCAUCAAAACUUCAUGUUCAUUGAUGUCCCAAAUACCAGCUUAAUAGUGAGUUAUUUUACUAAAUUCUCCAUUUUCAAAAUUAAGCAGUAUAUUUCAACAGAAAUAAUACGGUAUCAAAAGAGUUAAAGGAUCAUCUCAGAUUGCAAAAAGAAACACCUGAUAUCUUCCAUUUCCAAAAGUUUUCUCAACUCAGCUCAGCCUAUCCCAGCCUUCAUUCCCUUAUCAUUUGACACAUUACUGUAAAACACACACACACAGAUGCUUGCAGUGUACUGUUGCAGUAUAUUCCUGACAUUUUUUGUUAUAUAAUUGCCUUCAAGCUGCAUCAUUAAACUGAAGGUGGGAUUGGCUUACAGAGUUACAUAGUUGGGAGCGAUACAGUUGCUGGAUGAUUAUGGUGAUGAUGUUAAUAAUAAUAAUAAUAAUAAUAAUAGUAAUAAUAAAUAGUAUUAAGUGAUGACACAUCAGUGAGGAGCGUGAUGUUGCUGAUAAUUGUAUACAACACUCGUUAACUUGUUAGAUUAGUUACUCUAGAAUGUUUUUGUAAUCUCUGUGUUUGUUAUGUUAAAAUAUCAAACAUAACUUUGAAGUAUUCUAGCUGUUUGCUUAUCAAGACAGUUAUUAAUUAAUCAAGUCUUAAUUAAGUGAUCAGUAUCUUGAGUUUAGUUUUUAACUGUUUGACUGUUGUUUUACAUUUUUAGACUGACCGCCAUUUAUAAACAAAUGAUAAAACAAUCAGUAAACGGGACUGCUAUGUAGUUUGCUCAAAUGGCUAGACAUAGUAGCCAAAUCUCCCUUAAAACCAUACCCAACAACUGUUUUGAAAAAGAAAAAGGACACAUUAGAUAAUGUAGUCUUAGAUAUAGUCUAUCUAGAAUUAAAUUAAAAAAAAUAAUGGGCUCGUCAUGAUUGGAAUGCAUUUGAUUAUUGGUCACUCCAUUAAGGGUUGACUUAGGAUUAAACAACAGAACAAAAUAAUUUCAAUUUUUUGUUAUUUUGUGUCUUAACAAAUUUGGGUUUUUGAAUACCCUGCUGACCCUUCACCCUUAUUUUUUCUCUUAGUGUGUUGAGAGUAUGCUUUCUUUCAUUCAGUGGCUCUCAGCUGGGUUCCAUAUGACCCAGGGGUCUCUGUAUAAGAUUUUAGCAGGGUCCAAGCAAACAAAGUAGUAAAUGGGGGACCUAAGUAUUUUAGGGGUCCUUGAAAAAUGUUUGCUUUGGAUGUAUUUUUUGCAAGAGACAACUAAGUUUCUUUCUUUAAUGUUUUAAAUAGUUCAACGUGCUUCCAGCCACUGAAAUGUGUUUUCUCAGAGAGUUCUAGAGCAAACCUAUGCAAAUGAACGGGUGAAAAACAAAAUCGGAAUUUUGAAAGAAGUAUUUUAAAAAUUAGUUUUUAAGCACCAUUUGGCUAUGGGGGUCCACCAGAGUAAAAUAACCAAGAGGACAGUGUCCCUGAAGUUUGUAGAGUGUCCUGGACCAGUAACAUCGAUAUAAUUGAUGUCCAGCUUCAACAUCUGGAGUUCAGCAUCUUUCUCUCUCUUUGAUCAGUGACAUUAAGUUAAUGUCUUGUCUCAACAAUUGCAAGAUAUUGUCUUUUUGGCCAGUGAUAUUGAUGUCCAUCCUCAACAUCUUUAGGUCAAUGUCUCCCAGACCAGUGACAUUGGUGUGGCUGAUGCCCAGUUGCAAUACCUGCAGGCAAAAUAUGAUCAGAUCUGGUACAGACACAUUAACGGAAUAAACUCUGUUGAUGACACCCAAUGCUCAGGUAAUAGAGGUGGUAUUAAUUUAAGUGAACCAUAAAAUAUAUUUGGGAAGAGAAUUUUUGUUUAUUCUGAACAGAAGCAGUCAUUUCCUGAAUAUCUUCCAAACCUCUUGGCAUUCAGUGAUACAUUGUUUACACUGUGUCUGACCUCAGUGCUAAUUAUAUCGGUUUAAUUAUUGAUGUUCAUCUUCUAUCAUAUGUGAACCAUCAGAAAGACCAAUCUUGAAGUGAUUCUGGCCUAGUUAGGCUGUUAUGAUCACCAUUAUCACAAAUACAGCACUUCUUUACAAAUCCACUCUUUAAUCUGCAGGAAAUGAUAUGGUGCCUGUGAAACGGCCAAAUGCUUGUGAUUUUGUGCAUUCAAAGACUUAAAUUUACUGGAACAUAAAACAAUGGAAGCCAUUCAUUACUUGUUAUGGAUGUUGUUUAGAUACAGUUUGAACCAGGUCAAGUAGGUAUUCAUUAUUUAUUGUAUCCUUUAUUUAAGGUAGUAUAGUGCAAUUUUGGGGAUAUUUGGCUGCUAUUUCUAACACCUAAAGUGACCACAUACAAACUCCAUCAUUAACUUACACAUUUAUUCAGUUUUAAGUGUUAGUCUAUCUGUUGUGUAGAAGUCAUGUGUUCCUUGCUUUUAAUUCCAGUUUAAUGAAGAAUUUGGUAACAUAAUCUUGUUAUUAAAGCUGGUUUUUGGAACAUAAAUUGAUAUAAAAGUUUGAUAGGCUUUGAUUUAUUCCUUUAUUCCAUUUGCAUUCAAACUGGCCAUAUCCAGUCAGAAUAGUUUACCUGUUGAAGAUGAUGAUGACUGGCUAUAUCUAGCCUCUCACACAUCUACAAUGUCAUUCUAAAAAUAUACAGUCAUAUCAAAAAUCUCAAAGCUACAAGAUAGUUAAUUUUUAAAAAUUCAAAACAAUGUGAUUAAAUAUGUAUUACACUUGACUGCGCAAUCUGAAUACUAAUAGGUUAAAACAAGAUGUUUGUAUCUGGAAUCGGGGUUUGUCUCAAGGUGGGUUGGUAUUGAAAAGGUUAAGCCAUAAUUUGGCAGUUAUUGCAGAUCAAAGAUGACUGAGAGAUAAAGAAUUGGUGUGAAUAAAAAGCUAAACACGAUAUUUGGACAUAAUUACUGAAGGAGUCUGGAGAGUGCAAACAAUCAUGUCUUUCACCAGCAAAUUGUUUUAUGGUCUUUCCUUUAACCUUUUACUACUUACAGUUGUGUAUCAUAAUUGAUCUGGCAACAGAGAAGACCUGGCAAGCCAAGUGAGACUAUAGCCAUAGGCAAUAUGCUGUGCUUGAGAAGACCUGUUAAAUCCAGUGAAAUUGUUGUCGUGGUUGAUGCCAGUGCUGUCUGACUUGCACCUAUGCUGGUGGCACAUAAAAAGCACCAUUCAAGUGUAGUUGAUGCCAGUGCCACCUGACUGGCUCCCAUGCUGGUGGCACAUAAAAAGCAUCAUUCAAGCGUGGUUGAUGCCAAUGCUGCCUGACUGGCUCCUAUGCCGGUGGCACAUAAAAAGCACCAUUCAAGCAUGGUUGAUGCCAGUGCUGUCUGACUGGCUCCCGUGCUGGUGGCACAUAAAAAGCACCAUUCAAGCGUGGUUGAUGCCAAUGCCACCUGACUGGCUCCCAUGCCAGUGGCACGUAAAAAGCACCAUUCAAGCGUGAUCAAUGCCAGUACCGCCUGACUGGCUCCCAUGCUGGUGGCACAUAAAAAAGCUCCAUUCAAGUGUGGUUGAUGCCAAUGCUGCCUGACUGGCUCCUGUAAAAGCACCCACUACACCCUUGGAGUGGUUGGUAUGAGGAAGGACAUCCAGCUGAGAAACUUUGCCAGAUCAGAUUGGAGCCUUGUGCAACCUCCUGGCUUGCCAGUCCUCAGUCAAACUGUCCAACCCAUACCAGCAGAUAUCAAAUGUUAAUGAUGAUGAUAAUCACUUCAGUUGUUAAUUCCUUUCCCACUAUAACAUAUUUUAUGACACCUCACUACACUUAAUGCUCGAUGCUUCCAUCAGACUAAACAGCAUUGAUUCUUUUAUUAUCAACCAUAAUUCUUGAUACUAAGCUACUUCAGACUGCUCCUGCUUCUAUGAUAUAAAAGCAUUGGUAUAAAAGUACUGGUGAUGGUUCUGCAUAAAAAACUCUCAAUACACUCUGUAAAGUGGUUGGCAUUAGGAAGGGAAUCCAGCCAUAGAAACCAUGCCAAAACAGGAACCUGGUGCUGCCUCCUGGCCUUGUCCAACCUAUACCAGUAUGGAGAAUGGAUGUUAAAUGAUGAUGAUGAGUUUGUUUGUUUUUAAAACUUAAACGAUUGCAGUAUUUAAUCCUAAAUAGAGAAAGAUUAAAUAGAGCUUUCGAGAUGAUAGUGAUGCUCAGAUUUAUGGGAUUUGCAUAAUUUUUAUUUGUAAUGUUUGGUGAUUAUUUUUCCAAGAUCUUCCAGAUAAUAAGACUACUCUUUCAAAAGAAAAAGGAAAAGAUAUUCAGUAGUUAACCAUUUUGAUACCAACCUACCUGAGGUUGCACCUGGUUCUAUGAUACAAACUUCCUGUUUUAAAGUGGUCUAAAUUAAAUCUUUCCAUCAAAAUUUCAUGUUAAUUUAUAUUCCAAACACGAGUUUAAUAAUAACACAAUUAUUUUACUAAAUUCUUCAUUAUUUUAAAAAUUAAUUGGGACAUUUCUAUGUGGUUGUUUAUUAAGCUAGAAAUAGCAAGGAUGAUGUGGGUUAUAUUUGAAAGCCUAUAACAUACCAAGCAGGCAUACCAACAAAUUCACUGCUGAAUUUCUUUUUUCCAGUAACUUGAAAUCAUCUUCAGAUUAGGUGCGGGUAAUUUGAAAGUGAUUUCAUCCUCGUCCUUAUCAUUUCACAUUAUCUCAAAUCCUUCCUCAAAUGUUCAUCACCUUGCUGGAAAAAUAAACUUUGUUUUCUGUGUGUGUGUGUGUGCGCACAUUAGGUAUACAUGUGUACUUUACAGAAAAAGUGUUAAACAUCAACUUUGUUGGAGGAGUGGCUGUGUGGUAAGUAGCUUGCUUACGAAUCACAUGGUUCCAGGUUCACUCCAACUGUGUGGCACCUUGGGCAAGUGUCUUCUACUAUAGCCUCGGGCCGACUAAAGCCUUGUGAGUGGAUUUGGUAGACAGAAACUGAAAGAAGCCCAUCGUAUAUAUGUAUAUAUAUAUACAUGUGUGUCUGUGUUUGUCCCCACAACAUCGUUUGACAACCGAUGUUGGUGUCUUUAUGUCCCUGCAACUUAACGGUUUGGCAAAAGAGACCGAUAGAAUAAGUACUAGGCUUACAAAGAAUAAGUCCUGGGGUCGAUUUGCUCAACUAAAGGCGGUGCUCCAGCAUGGCCACAGUCAAAUGACUAAAACAAGUAAAAGAGUAAAGUGCAUAAAUAUAUUAUUUUGUAUAAUAAAUGUGUAUGAAAUAUUUUGUUUUGUAUAGAAAUAUAUUUCAUUUACAUGUCUGUGUAUUAAUAUAUUUUUUGUAUAAUAUGUAUUCUGAUUGAUUUGUUACUAAAAAAAUUGGAGGCUCAGAAUCUCGUGUUUGUUUUAAAGGCAUCAUAAAAAUGUUAGUUAUAUCUAUUAGAAUCAUCCGUAAGUUUUCCAAUACAUCCCCUGUGUAACUUAUUUCUUUUCCAUCAAUGUAUUUGUACAUUUUAAUAUUAAUAGUAUUUAGAUGCAGCACAAAAUUUUGUCAGUGAACAGGUCAUGGUCUCAAAGCGACGAAAAUAUUUUGACAAAUUAAAUUUAAAUAUUGAAGUGAAUUUAAUGGUUUUUGUGUGUUUUUAAAUGGCUUAUAAACACUUUCCACACUGCAGUAUUAAUAACCUUAUAUAAAUACACAACUACAGACAUACAGAGAUGGGAAAUGAUAUUUUUUUUAUUCCUGUUCUUGAUAUGAACAGUGGAGGUUCCAGCAAAGAAUUUAACUAUUUGGAAAUAAAGUAGAGAUGGAGAUGGAAAUGGAUAGAGAAGGCUGUAAGACAUUAAAAAAAUGCUAUCUCACAGUUUAAGAUUUUGAAAAAUGUUUGCAAUUAAUUAAACUUAAUCAUUUCUACAGCUGUUUCUACAGCUGGAUGCGUUAGGAAGGGCAUCCAGCUGUAGAAACACUGCCACAUCUGACUGGCCUGGUGCAGCCUUCGGGCUUCCCAGACCCCAGUUGAACCGUCCAACCCAUGCUAGCAUGGAAAGCGGACGUUAAACGAUGAUGAUGAUGAUGAUGAUGAUGAUUUAGCUUUAUGGGUUGCCUUUCCAGGUACCAAGCCUUUUGGUUGCUUCUUGAGACACAAGAAUAUGUACACCUAUUCUGAAAACCAGAAAUCUUUAACAUCAGCUCUGCAUCAUCCCUUAUAAAAGUGCCAUAAUAUUUUAAGUUCAAGUACUUUGUUGGGUCAAUUUCCUAAUGAGAUACCACCUGUAGGAUUGUGGAGAUGAGGUUCAAUUGAUUAUUCAGUAUUUGAUUAAAAUUUUGGACUCUGUUGUUGGACAUGGUCUUCUGUUAAAAUGGCCAGGCAUCUUCAACUUGAGGAGUGGAGUUAACAGAGAGAAACUGAAUGAAAGCCAUUGUGUGUGUGUGUGUGUGUGUGUGUGUAUACACAUUAUCAUCAUAGUUGUUUAAUGUCUGUUUUCCAUGUUGGUAUGGGUUGGACAGUUUGACUGAGGACUGGCGAGCCAGAAGGCUGCACCAGGCUCCAAUCUGAUCUAGCAAAGUUUCUACAGCUGGGUGUCCUUAUGCCAACCACUCCGAGAGUUUAGUGGAUGCUUUUACAUGUCACUAGCAUGAGUGCCAGUUUGUCGGUACUGGCAACGGCCAUGCUCAAAAGGUGUUUUUACGUGCCACCUGCAUGGGAGCCAGUCCGGUGCCAUUGGCAAUGACCACGCUCGAAUGUUGUUUUUCACAUGCUAUCGGCACAUGUGCCAGUAAGGUGAUGCUGGCAACGAUCACACUUAAAUGGUGCUUUUUACAUGCCACCAGUCAACGGCCCUGGCAUCAAUCAUGCUCAGAUGGUGCUUUUAAUGUUCCAAAGGCACAAGUGCCAAUCAGGCGGUACUGUCAUUGGCCAUGUCAGUGAUUUUGAUUUCACUUGCCUCAACAGGUCUUUGCAAGCAGAGUUCAUUGUGCAAUGAAUGAGGAGUACUCAUAAGUGGGCUGGUUAUACACCACUGGCAUAGGCCACAAGGUAAUGGUCUCACUUGGCUUACCGGGUCUUCUCAAGCACAGCAUGUCUCCAAAAAUCUUGGUCACUAGUCAUUGCCUCGGUGAGAUACAAUUCAACACGUGCAGCUGCUAAUCUAGACAUAUUUUUCCCCCACUCUCCAUCUAUUUUCUCUUCCAUUUUUCCUGGGUUUCAAAGUAAUACACCUUGUUUGUUACUCCUUCACUUGCCUCUGUCUUUUGUUUUUUGUACAACUUUGAACCAUAAAUUUACAUAUAUGUAUAUAUAUAUGUGUGUGUUUGUGUGUACUAUUGUGUACAUAUAUACAUAUUCUCUGUGUGUAUUUGUGUAGACAUCAUACAAUGGUCGUAGAUGAGCAUGGUUGUCAUAUGAGUGAGGUUGUUCAUUACUAUCCUUCUGUAAAAUACAAGUCUAAGACAUUUACCACCACCACCACAAAGACAAUUACUUCUGAGGAUAACAGAUGAUGAUUUAAAAUUUCUUAAUAUAUUGGAGAAUGGGUAAUUAACCAAGCAGGGUAAUUGUUCUAGGAGGUAGUGGUCGUAGGGGGUAACUGUCCUGAUACAGUAAAAUACAUGCCCAGCUAUGGGAAAAUAUUUCCUUGUUUGGAAACAGGUGAGGGUUGGCAACAAGGCAGGCAUCCAGCCAUAGAAAAUCUGUUUCAACAAAUUCCAUCUGAUCCAUGAAAGCAUGGAAAGGUGGACAUUAAAUGAUGAUGAUGAUGAUAUAUUUUAAACACUUACCACUUUACUAUUUUAAUUUCCUUUCAGAUUCCUCAUAUACUCCAAAUGUUUCAACUCUCUUGUAAUACUUACAUCAAGUACUGAAGAAUGUGGCAGCUUCUGAGAGCUUGUGUCUCUCAGUUGAAUCACAAAACAUACCAGGUAAGUUACAGGUUUUCUUUUAUUUUUUUACUUGUUUCUCAUUUGACUGUGGCCAUGCUACGGCACUGCCUUUAGUCGAACAAUUUGACUUCAGGGCUUAUUCUUUGUAAGCCUAGUAUUUAUUUUAUUGGUCUCUUUUGCUGAACUGCUUAGUUACAAAUACAGUUGUCAAGCAAUGGUGGUGGGGAUAAAAACACACAUACAAUCACACGACGGGCUUCUUUUAGUUUCCGUCUACCAAAUCCACUCGCAAGGCUUGGGUCGGCCUGAGGCUAUAGUAGAAGACACUUGUCUAAGGAGCCGCACUGUGGGAUGCUUUCUUUGCUAGCUUGAGUUGGUUGGGUUUGCCAUAGACAGUCAGUACAUAUUCGGUAAUACCUACUUGAAAUGGAUUAGAAGGACUGCAGUCUGUUUGCUUCAUUUUUGGUUGAUUUUCUACAGUUGGAUACCCUUUCUAAUACCAACCUCCUUUACAGAGUGUACUGGAUACUUUUUCAUGGCAUCAGCACCAGAGAGGUCGCCAUGUCUUGCACAAGACUAAAAGCACCUCAUUUCCUUGCACUUUGCAGAAUGUAUUGAAUGCAAUUUUUGCAACACCAGCACAAAAGAAGUCAUUGUGUUCUCAAUGUGACUAUCAGUAUUCAAUUACCCAGAAAGCUCAUAAGAAGUAAUUAGUAAUCAGCAGUGGAGGUGAGUGUUAUGGAAUCAUUGUUACCAGAAUAAGGAUGAUUGGAAAUUUUCCAGGGAGACAUUAACCUCUGUUGACUGCAGAAGGAUUCUCCCUCCCUCUCCUUGUCAAGUGUAGAUGCUAUGAUACUGGUGUCCGAUGUGUGAUCAUACAUUGUAGUGAAACCUGGAUGGUGAGAGCUGAGGAUACAUGUUGGCAGGAAAGAAAUGAUGUGAAUCUGGUCUGUUGGAUGUUUAAUGUGACUGAAAGAACACAGGUGUGACAAAAGGAAUACUGGGAAUUAGAGGAAUCAGAUGUAAUGUAUAGGAGAGGAGAUGGCUUUCAGAAUUCCUCCUGUCGGUAAUCUGCAUAUUGUUGCUUUAUUAGUGAUAUGUCCUUAAUUUAGCUCUCUCAGGUAACAGAUGAGUAAGACAACAACCACUCUGGAACUUGUACAACAAAAAUCACCCUCUACACACUUUACAGUGGUUGUCAUAUAAACAAUGAAAGCAUAGGGUCGUGAGAUCCCCCUUAGUCCAGUCUUGUUAAGGGUCAUUCAACCUCACUAGUGUUGCAGUGUAUGGGAGCAGCAGCGCCUACUAAAAAUGGAUCAAGUCCUAAUGAACCAACACACGCAGUGUAGAAAGCAAAUGUAAAAUUGUAAAUUAAUGAUUAUGGUGUAAUGUGUCCUGUUGUUACAAGUUAGAUAUUUUUUUGUGACAGUUUUUGCUAAGUGAUUAUAUAACUUACUAGCUGGCUCUGUGCCAUCAAAAAUGACACCUAAUUAUAGUAUUAUAUUUGUUUUAUAUCCUUGAUACACGCGGGUGAUAAUUAUUUUCUCUAAUCAGUUUGUAUAGGUGUGUGUGGUUGUAAUAAUUAUUUUUAGCAAAAAGACAGAAUAUGGAUGGUAAAUCAAAUUAAUACGCAUGUCAAUGUUAUCCAGUGGAUGUCUUUUGAGAUGUGACAUUGAUCAUCAUUUAUUACUGAAAGAAUGUCGGUUAGUUAAUGUAUAGUUACUGGGUAAAAAUUUCUUAAUAUAAAUAAAUUAAUGACAUGUGUAAACUGUUAAAUUAAGAUGUGUAUUUAUAAUAUACCUUUCAACUGCAGUUGUUUUAUAUUCUUGAUACUUUCAGGCAAUAAUUAUUUUCUCUAAUGAGUUUGUAUAUGUAUAUGUUUGUGUAGGUGUGUGUGAUAGUAAUAAUUAUUUCUAACAAAACAGAAUAUGGAUGGUAUUUCAAAUUAAUACACACGUCAAUGUUAUCUAGUGGUUGCUGUUUGAGAUGUGACAUCGAUCAUCGCUUGUUACUGAAAGAACAUUGGUUCACACGUACAAACAUUCACAUACUUCCCUUGUACAUACUCACACAGAGUUGAAAUGCUGUUUGAUUUUUCUUUUCAGCGCUGAAUGUCCACCAUCCCACUUCUAUUACACACACACACACAAACAUUCACAUACCUCCCUUUUACAUACACACGCUUAUACUCACACAGAGUUGAAAUGCUGUUUGAUUUUUCUUUUUCAUCGUAGAAUUUCCAUCAUCUCACUACUGGUUUGCCAUCACUCCAUCCUUUCUCAUUCAUAUGUUGUGAUGUAGAAAGAGUAUUAUUAUAGUAGAUAACCUGUCCUAGGAGUGCUACCAUAUUGAUUUGUAAAUAUUAUAGUUGUCUAAUUAGUCAGACUGUCAUACAUUACAAUUAGGUGCCUUUAUGUUGUUCUUCAGACUGCUAGGAAUAGGAGCGAAAUUUCCCUCAGAUUACAUUCUGUUGUCUAAGAAACAAAGAGAGAAAACGUUUGAUAAUGCAGUGUAAUACCGUCAUUGUUUUAAUGUUAGUUUUUCUAGGCUCAGAAGGGUCAAAUGUAAUUUAUUGAGGGAGAUUUUCUAAUCAGAAACCUUUCCCGUUGCCAACCCUCUCCUGUUUCCAAACAAGUUCAGGUUUCCUCAUGACCAGACAUGUUUUAAUGAAAGAUUGGACGCUGUUUGCAUGCACUGAGUACAUUGUGUAAAGUGGUUGGCGUUAAUAAGGGCAACAAGCCAUAGAAACCAUGACUGGCACCUGGUGCAACCCUCUGGCUUGCCAGCUUCUGUCAAACUGUCCAACCCAUGCCCGCAUGGAAAAUAGACGUUAAAUGAUGAUGAGAAUGGUGAUGAUGAAGGUGCAGGCAUGGUUGUGUGGUAAGAAGUUUGCUUCCCAACCACAUGAUUCCAGGUUCAGUCCCACAGUGUGACACCUUGGGCAAGUGUCUUCUAUAGUCCUGAGUGGAUUUGGUUGACGGAAACUGAAAGAAGCCUGUUGAGGAUUUUGCCUUGGAAGGUACUUGGUGACCCUGUCAGUGCAGGUACCAUGUAAAAAGCACUUGUGCUGGUGCCACGUAAAAAACACUGGUGCUGGUACCAUGUAAAAAAUGCUAGUGCUGGUACCACAUAAAAAGCAUCAGUGCUGGUGCCAUAUGGUGCUAUGUAAAAAGUACCUGUGCUGGUGCCACAUAAAAGCACCCAGUACACUUGGUAAAGUGUUUGGCAUUAGGGAUGGCAUCCAGCUGUAGAAACCAUGCUAAAACAGACAGUUGGAGCCUGGUAUAGGUCUCUGGCUUGACAGCUCCUGUCAAACUGUCCAACCCAUGCCAGCAUGAAAAACAGACAUCAAAUGAUUGUGAUGAUUUCCAGAUUCACCCCACCAUCCUCCCCUCUAAAAUGUGAGUAGUCAUGUUGCUUCUCUGCUUCAAGAAACCUGUUAUGCUCUGGCCCUUUCACUCUUGCUCUUUUACCCCAUACUUUCGCAGCACAAUGUUGCCUUUCCCUAUUUGGGUUCAUAUUCUUGUAAGUUGCACAGUGACCUCACUAUUGUUGGUGGUAUAAUAAAAGGCAGCGAGCUGGCAGAAACGUUAGCGUGCUGGGUGAAAUGCUUAGCGGUAUUUCGUCUGCUGCUACGUUCUGAGUUCAAAUUCCGCCAAGGUUGACCUCGUCUUUCAUCUUUUUGGAGUCGAUUAAAUAAGUACCAGUUACACACUGGGGUCAAUAUAAUCGACUUAAUCCGUUUGUCUGUCCUUGUUUGUCCUCUCUGUAUUUAGCCCCUUGAGGGUAGUAAAGAAAUAAGUAUAAUAAAAGCACUCUGUAAAAUAGUUGGCAUUAGCAAGGACAUCCAGUCAUGGAGACCAUGCUAAAGCACAUACUGGAGCAUAAUACAGUCCUUGAAUCCUUCAGAUUUUGUCAAGCUGUCCAAUCCAUGAUAGCAUAGAAUUUGGAUGUUCAAUGAUGAUGUCUGUUAAGAUAUUUGAUUUCUAGCAUUAGUACAAGAGUGUAAAAUCUGGACCCCAGUACUUGAUUGGCAUUUUAUUCUAUUGACCUUUUGAUUGAUUAAAAGCAACAUUGACUUUGUUGAGAUUUGAACCCUGAAUGUUAAGGUCUAACUAAACCUGCAGAAUAUUUUGUCUGUCACUCCACCCUUUCUACUAAUCCACUCCACCCCCUUCACUUCUUGGAUAUUAAAUGUUUAGAUAUUUACAUCAUGUAAUUGACCAGGUUAUUGGAUGUUGUUGCACAUUGCUGGUCACAAUGCUCCUUGCAUCGUUUUAGCUUUUGAAUGAUGCCUCCCCACUGGCUAAGUGAGCAGGCUGACAUUCCCCCCUGAUCAGAAGUCUGGUCUAUUGCAGGGUGACAUGUUUACAGUUGAGUGGACUGGAACAAUGUGAAAUGAAGUGUUUUGCUCAAGAACAGAAUGUAGCACUCAAUCCAAGAAUCAAACACAUGAUCUAGUCAUUAUAAAUGCAAUAUCUGAAUCACCAGGUCACAUGCCUUCAGAUAUUAUUAUCAAAUCUACAUUAUUUACAUUAUUUACAUUUGACGAAUGUUUGUCCUCAUCUUGUUUGUUGUUAACACAACGUUUUGGCUUUCAUCAGGUGUCUUGAGGAAAUUUUGAGCCUGGGUUCUCAUUCCUAAGGUAUUUUCGAUGUUAUUAUUGCUAUCAUUGUCUUUGCACAGCUUCUAACGCUGGAGAUGCCAGCUGUUCACUACUAGUGAACUAAGGUAAUACCUCUUAUUUUUCGAGCACCAUCCAGAGUAUUUGAGCAGUUUCAAACAGUGCUGUUUUCUGCAAGUGCUCCGCCCUUAUUGCAGCCCCUAUUUGUUCCAUGUACUUCUCAAGAAGUACAUGGCUCCGACAAUUAUUGGUACCACUACCACCUUUUCCAUCGACCACAACUGCUUAACCUCCCAAGCUAACCUGUCAUAUCUAUUGACAUUUUUUAAAAACUAUUUUAUUAUUAUUAUUAUUUAGGUCACUGCCAGAAAUCAAACUCAGAAUCUUGGGGUUAGUAGCCCGCACUCUUAACCACUAUGCCAUAUGCCUGUUAACAACAAACAAGAUGACAAAUAUCCGUCAAGUGUAAAUAAUGUACAUAAUUCCUCAUUUCUUAAAUAUAGAACUGUAUUAUCAAAUCUGUUUAAUAGGCACAGGAGUGACUGUGUGGUAAGUAGUUUGCUUAUCAGCCACAUGGUUCUGGGUUCAGUCCCAUUGCGUGGCACCUUGGGCAAGUGUCUUCUGCUAUAGCUUCGGGCUGGCCAAAGCCUUGUGAGUGGAUUUAGUAGACAGAAACUUAAAGAAGCCCAUUGUGUAUAUAUAUAUAUACACACACACACAUCAUCAUCAUCAUCAUCGUUUAACAUCCGUUUUCCAUGCUAGCAUGGGUUGGAUGGUAUAUACACAUAUAUGGAAAAAAACGUCAAGGUAGAAAAUGCUAAAAUAAUUUUAUAAAAAACAUUUCAGUACUGGUUUCAGUCAUUGAGACUUUUUCAACUGUAAGUAUGGAAAACAAUUAGAUUUUGGAAAAAUUAAAUGAAAAGUUUUUUAAAAGAAUAUUUGCAUAGUAUUCAAAUACAAGGGGUAUUUUCCUUCCGUUUUCCAUACUGGCAUGGAUUGGACAGUUUGAUUGGGGACUGGCAAGCCAGAAGGCCACACCAGGCUCCAAUCUGAUCUAGCUGUGUUUCUACAGCUCGAUGCCCUUCCUAAUGCCAACCACUCCAAGAGUGUAGUGGCUGCUUUUUAUGUGCUACUGGCACAGGAGCCAGUCAGGCGGCACUGGCAUUGGCCAUGUUCAGAUGGUGCUUUUUACAUGCUACUGGCACAGGAGCCAGUCGAGGCAGGGAGACUGGCAUCAACCAUGUUUGGAUGGUGCGUUUUAUGUGCCACCGGUAUGGGGAGUCAUAUGUGUGUGUGUAUUUGUGUGUCUGUUUGUCCCACCACCAUCACUUGACAACUGAUGUUGGUGUGUUUAUGUCCCCGUAACUUAGUGGUUUGGCAAAAGAUACAGAUAGAAUAAGUACUAGGCUUACAAAUAAUAAGUCCUGGGGUCGAUUUGUUCGAUUAAAGGUGGUGCUCUAGAAUGGCCGCAGUGAAAAUGACUGAAGCACAGAAAGAAAAAAGAAUGAAAGAAAAAUUCAGAUAUUGUGAAAUGCUUUGUCCUAUUUUGUUAUCAAACUAAUUUAUAUUUCAUUUGAGGACCAACUUGUCCUAUUUAUCAUUAUUAUUCUUAUUUGGCUUGUCUCUUGCUGCUUUCUUGUACUAUUGUUGUUUAGAGGAACUGAUUUCUAGAAAUGUCACCAAAAUUGUCUCUUGGAAAAAAACAACAAAACAAAACAAAACAAAAAGGCACGCACACACACAAAAAUAAAGGCAAAAAUUUGUAAAAUUGUUAUAUGAGGGAAUAUUUCAGAUAGUAUUUGGGUUUAUUUUUCAUUCUCUCUGCUGGGAAAGGUCAUCUGCUGUGCUAGCUCUUCCAGCUCCUCCUUGCAACAUCAACUCAGCUACUAUUGCUAACAGUUUAAUGGAGCAGGAAGUCAUUAAUACAGCAAAUGGUUAGCUUUUUUUGUUGUUUUGUUUUAGUUUUGUUUGUUUCUUUUUGUUACUAUUUUUUUCUUUUUUUGGUGUCAUUUCUCAAACUGUUGUUGUAAUUAUGUUUGCCAGAUAGACAGCAACAGAGGCCUUGCUUUUUAAGCGAUGAGUCUUAGUGACCUUCAGCUAGUUAUUUGGCAGUGUUGUUGUUGAACGGCGACGAACUUUCUCCACGAUAUUGCUGCUGUCGCUGCUGCUUCUGAAGUGAUGUCGCUGCUACGUAUGAACUCUGCG